AUUUUUUUAAGGUUUUCAGACUUCACACAGUGACUAAAAAGUAAAAACCCGCUGAAACUUCUCUUCUUUUCUUAGGUUUUCAGUUUUCACUCUCAAACUCUCAUCUUCCUUUUCUGACUCAGCGAUUCUCUCAAACUCUCAUCUUCCUUUUGAUCUCCCUUAUUUCUCACUUCUCACUUCUCACUUCUCACUUCUCACCUCUCAGCAAUUUAUCCUCUUCUUCCUAAGGUAUUAUUCAUCUUCAUCCUAAGUUUUGAUUCAUCUUCAUCCUAAGGGACUAAUCAUGUUUGUAUCAAAGCAUUAGUUAAGCCCACCGAAUCUUCAUGUACUAAGCCUACUAAACUUGCUGAUCAUUGCUUGAAUGAGGGAGAUCAUCUUCAACUUGGACUAAUCAUGAACAUGGAAUCAAGACAAAGACAAGGAGCAAAAGGAAGCCUCCCAACAGACAUCAGACUGAACAGAAGGCCACAGAAGGCUGAUUCAACACAUACAAGCAACAGAACAAGCAGAGCACCAGCCUGUCUGCCAGCCCACCUUGCGAGCGAGCCAUGAAGAGCUUAGCUUGGCGCAUGUAUGAGCAUGGAAAUUCAAAGAACGACAUCUUCAUACAUGAAAUAAGAAGCCAAGACUCAAAGAUACUACGGAGAGUCCUCACAGAACCCACAAGAACAACUGCAAGGUCAUGUGCUCGUCAGUUUCUGGAUAAUGGUUUAUUCCAGUAUAAUAAGGCUAUUUUUGUUUCUGUUUUAAUCUUCAUGUAUUGCACGCGCUUUAAUAAUUAGGCACGGGGUUAGUUAUGUUUGUUAGAUACUCCAAACUAGCCGUUAGAGCUCUAUAUAAAGGGGCACCCUCAUUGUAUCAUGACAUUCAGAUUUGGUUAAUGAAUUUUCAUUCAAAGUAAUUGUGUGCAAUUACAAACCUGAGUGUUGUCUUUGUGAGUGAAGCAAAGAGGAUAUUCAGUUGUUUCCACGAGAAUAUAGAGAGUGAAUCUUAAUUUGAGUGUGAGGAAGAGGCCAGUGGCUGAGUGAAGGUCAAUUGUCUCUAUCCACGACAUAGAACCAUUCCAAGGAAUUGUUCUUGUCACCUUCUGUUUCAUACAAAUAGAAGGCUUGUGUGUGUUCUUCAUGUCAAGACUGUUCUUGGCAUUAUUCUUGAAAGGAUUGGGUUCUUGGAUCAACCAUCACCACAUACGCAUCAAUUGGUAUCAAAGCUGUGUUCUGAGAAGGGACACGAUCAAAAGGAGAUAAGUAAAGGCCAGGUAAUCAGAUCAAACACACGUCUGGUAGGAGUAAUCAGAAGGAUCAGGUAUUGUACGUUUUUGUUCAAAUUUCACAAAAUACAGGUACGAAUUCAAUCUCAUAACUUCAUAAUUCAAUCUUUCCUUGUUAAUAACUCAUUUAUAAUCAAGGAUUACAGAAUAUAUUUGAUCAUUAGACGAAUUUGAUUGUGGAAUGAAAAAUUCUGAAAAAUCUGAUUAUCGUAUGAUUAAAUGUGCAUCAAUUUGAUUCCUGAUAUUUUGUUUCUGAGUCAUUAUACAUAUCAAAAUUUGUCAACUAAUUCAUUUAAAUUCAAUUCUUGAAUGUCCUGAAUGAAUACUUGCUGAAACUUGAUGACGAUGGUAUUUUAAACGUUCGAACAUUGAGUCUUCGCUGAGAACAUUGAUAUAUGCGAUUUUUGAUUCUUGUAUUUCAAUCUCUGAUUGUUGUGGGUGUGAUAUCUGUUAGGAAUUGGAUAGAAUUUAUUUGUGAAUCGUUGGAUAUUACGAUUGCUUUGAGAAAAAUUGAUCAUAACAAUCUGAUUCACGAAGUUCAUUCUGAGAAAUUAGGGUUUGGUGUUUGUGCAUUCAUUUUUGUUUCUGAAAACUUGUGGUUUGAGGAAUUCUUGCAUUGUGGUAACAAGAACAUCAUGAACACCGAUGAGACGUUUGCUGAAAUGGCCCUUGCCAUCCAACAACUCACACAUGCAGUGACCAGACUUGAGAUAAACCAUGAAGAGAGGAAUGCCCAUGCACAAUCACGAAAGAAACACAGAGGAUAAGACACUUAGGUUAGAUGUCUCUGAUUUUGGGGGAACAACACACAACCCUGAGGAUUACUUGGAGUAGGAGGCUGGGCUGGAAAGGUACUUUGAAUUCAAAGAGACCUCUGAAGAGCGGCAGUACAAACUAGCCAAAAUCAAGUUAACCAAGCUAGCUGCCAUAUGGAUCGAGGGAAUUCAGAAGCAGAGAAGGAAGGAGAACAGGGAGAGGAUUAACACUUGGGCUAAGUUGAAGAAACACCUCAGAAAGAAGUAUGUGCACUCAUCGUAUAGGCAGCAUCUUUUUGUGCAAUGGAGCACUCUGAGGCAAGGAAAUAGAGCAGUAGCUAAUUACAUUCAGGAGUGGGAGAGGUUGUCUGUUUUUUGUGAUGUUAAUGAACCAGAGGAGAUGAAGAUAGGUAAGUUCAUAGGAGGCUUGAGAGAGGAUUUGAGGGAAAAGCUUGAGGUGAUGCAGCACUUGACCCUUGACACAGCCUUUAGUAGUGCCCUCACAUAUGAAAAAUACGCCAAGAAGAGGAAUACCUGUGCACAACCACGUGAGUCUACCUUUCCUAAACUUAACACAGUAGGUAAUACAGCAAAUAUGGGAGUAGGUACCAGCUCAACAAGCAAAAGCACCAAUACAACAGUACCCAACAGAACAAAGGAUAGAAUCAAUGUGCCUAUGAAGGAUGUAAUGUGCUUCAAGUGUCAUGGCCAUGGACACUACAGAAAUGAGUGUCCUAAUGCACGAGCUUUCACAAACAUUGAGUGGACUAAGAUACACAGCAGGGAGAAAGGACUUAGAGCUAUGCUAGUAACCAAAGAUGGGGAGGAGAAGGUUAUACUACCACCUACACCUGCAAAUGAACAUGAAGGUUCUUACAUACUGACCAACUUAGGGACUUUGCAACGAAUUGAACCAGGUGACACUGAGGACAGUGAGUCAGAGGGAGAGAACAGAGAGGUCAUUGAAAGGAUAUACCCUGAGGAAGGCAGCUACCAUUUGCUCAUACGGAGAAACUUCCAUACCACGCCAAAAGGAAAGAAAACUGAUCAGUAGGAGAGUGUGUUUCAGACCAAGUGUAGAGUGCAGGAUCGAGUAUGCAACCUUAUAAUUGAUGGAGGAAGCGAGACCAAUUGUGUGAGCAACCAACUAGUGCAGGAUCUGACAUUGAGCACUAUUGACCACCCUAAUCCAUACAAGCUACGUUGGUUAGACAAUAAGGCUGAAGGUUUUGUAAAGAAGCAAUGUUUAGUUAGUUUUUCAAUAGGUUCUUACAAUGAUGAAAUGUUGUGUGAUGUGUUGGACAUGAAUAUAUGCCAUAUACUGUUGGGAAGGCCCUUGCAGUAACUAAACACUCCAUGCAUAAUGGGUUUACCAACAUAUAUACCAUCAAACAUGAUGGAAAAAUGAAAGAUCUUAUACCCUUACCCCCAUAUAAGACCAUUGCUGCUCCUACAAAGCAGAAGAAGGCAAGCUAUGUGCUGAACAAGAGUGACUGUUACAAGGGAGUUCAGAAUGGGAGAGACUUGGUGCAUUUGUUCACUAAAAGAAUUAGUGAGAACCUAAUCCAGCAACAACACAAAGCCUUGAUAUCAUUAGAAGAUAAGGCAUUAGAUCUUGAGUUGAUUAAACCCUUGACUGUUGAUGAUAUUGAAAUAAACAAACUGCAUCAGGGAAGCUCAUCUGCAUGCUGUGAUGUGAAUGGCUUUUAUUUUACAGGAGACACAAUUGUUGAUAUUCAUUAUUGUUGCAGGUACCAUGCAGAUACUAAACAAAAAGCUGUAAGGAUGCUACAACCACAAGAGGAACUCAGAAUGCAUACCACAAGGGAGAAGGAACAAUGCAGUAUCACAACAAACGAAGACAUCAAACGUGAGGAGCUGCAGGAAGGAACUUUGAUAUGGAUACAUUUGAACCUUCUGAAUAGCUAUGAAAUUUCGAAGGCUUUCACCCUUGAUGACAUAAAAGGCAUGAAGGCAACGCAGAAUUGAGGACAAUUCUGUUUAAAGGAGGGAAUAAUACGAUUAUAGAUAACCUACAAAUCAAAACAAAACAAGAAGAGCAUAAUUGUAUCAAAGCAUUAGUUGAGUCCACUGAAUCUUCAUGUACUAAGCCUACUAAACUUGCUGAUCAUUGCUUGAAUGAGGGAGAUCAUCUUCAACUUGGACUAAGCAUGAACAUGGAAUCAAGACAAAGACAAGAAGGAGCAAAAGGAAGCCUCCCAACAGACAUCAGACUGAACAGAAGGCUGAUUCAACACAUACAAGCGACAGAACAAGCAGAGCACCAGCCUGUCUGCCAGCCCACCUUGUGAGCCAUGAAGAGCUUAGCUUGGCGCAUGUAUGAGCAUGGAAAUUCAAAGAACGACAUCUUCAUACACGAAAUAAGAAGCCAAGACUCAAAGAUACUACGGAGAGUCCUCACAGAACCCACGAGAACAGCUGCAAGGUUAUGUGCUCGUCAGUUUCUGGAUAAUGGUUGAUUCCAGUAUAAUAAGGCUAUAUUUGUUUGUUUUAAUCUUCACGUAUUGCACGCGCUUUAAUAAUUAGGAAAUGUCCACAACCGGAGACAAUAGCAAUGAUUUUAUGGAGAUACUUCCUUCAAAUUCCGAGGAGGAAUCUGAACCUUAGGUUUUGAUGAAGGUUCAAUCCAAGAAAACGAACGGAAAAGAUCAUGAAAAAACAACAAAGAAUCAAGAUGAAUCUGGGUAAGCGUAAAAAAACUUCUACUGCUUAGGAUCAUUUUAGUGAAAUUCCUGGUGAUACAAAUUUUGCUAAGUUUUUUAAUUGUAAUGCAAAAAUUUCUUGCGCUGCUGCUAAUGGAAAUAAUGCUAUGAAGCGUCAUAUUAUGAGGUGUAAGAAAACUCUUAUUUUAUUGACAAAAGGCAAACAAUUUUAGAUUUUGAGUCUAAAACAAGAGUGAACAUCGAUGGAACUGUUGAGACUGUGAGUGUUCCUAAAUUAUGCAUUUUAAUCAAGAUGAAAUAAGAAAAGCAAUUGUUGAAAUGAUAAUUCUUGAUGAAUUGCAAUUUAAUUUUGUAGAAUGUGAAGGUGUUCGUAAGCUUUGCAAGGUUGUUAUUCCUGAUUUCAUUCCUAUGUCACGUGCUACAAUUAAAAGAGAUUGUUAUGGUCUUUUUAUUGAGAAUAGAAAGAAAUUAAAGAAUUUCUUUAAGAAUUUGACAUCUAGGGUUAGUCUUACCACAAAUAUAUGGACUUUUGGUCAAAAUAUGUCAUAUAUAUGUCUAACUGCUUAUUAUAUUGACGAUAAUUGGAACUUGCAUAAAAAUAUCAUUAAUUUUUUCCCUGUUGUUGGUCAUUUUGGGUUAGUCUUACCCCAUUAGUGCUGUUGAAAAGUGUCUUCUUGAAUGGGGUCUUAAAAGAGUACUCAUGUUAACCGUCGACAAUGCUAGUUCUAAUGAUUUAGCAAUUAAAUAUUUGAAAGGGGUAAUUAAUCUUUGGAUCAUUGUGUGUUGAAGGCUGAGCUUUUACAUAUGAGAUGUGCUGCACAUAUUUUGAAUCUAGUUGUUAAAGAUGGUUUGAGAAAAGUUGAUAAGGCUAUUUUGAAAGUCCGAGCUACUAUGAAAUAUGUGAGGUCUUUCCCUGCAAGGCUACAAAAGUUUAAGGCAUGUAUUUUAGAGGAAAAUUUAAGUUGUAAGGGUCUUGUUAGCUUAGACAUUGAAACAAGGUGAAAAUCCACUUACAACAUGCUUAAAACUACAUUGACAUUUAGAAAGGCUUUUAAAAAUUUGAAAACAAGUUCUCUCCUUAUGUAAGAGAGCUUAAUAAGGUGGAUGGUGCACCUGACGAUAAUGAUUGGGAUAGGGUUGUUGUGUUUUUGCCUUUUCUUGAGAUUUUCUAUGAUGCUACUUUGAGUUUGUCUGGAUUAAUAUAUGUCACAUGUAAUGUAGUUGUUGAAUAGAUUUAUGACAUUAGUUAUGCCAUUAAGACUCAUCUUAAUGACCAAGUUGAAGGUCUAAAGCAAAUGGCAAAAUUAAUGAAGUAUAAAUAUGACAAGUAUUGGACAAAUGUUAAUAAUGUCAAUGUUUUGAUGUUCAUUGCUUUAGUUUUUGAUCCAAGACUUCAUGUUGAAGUAUGUUGAGUGGAUUGUUCAACGUAAUUAUGAUUAUAUUAACUCAAUUAGCAUGUGUGAACGGAUUAGAGAUACUUUGGUGAAAUUGUUUGAUUUUUAUGCAUCUUCCCAACUAAUAAAGAAGAAAGUUUAUGUUCAAGGGUUCCUAGUGUUAAUGUUGGCUUCAAUAUGAUUGAGGUUGAGGGGAAAAGGAGCAAGGGGUCAAGAUUAAGAAAGGAGUAUGUGAAUGGAACUAGAAAAUUCACUUCUGAUGUAAAAACUGAGUUGGAUAAGUAUUUAGGAAGUGAGUGUGAAGAUAAUAUUGAUGAUGAGUUUAAUAUAUUGUCUUAGUGGUCUGGAUAAGGGAAAACCUAUCCAAUUCUUAUGUCAAUGGCUAGAGAUGUGCUAGCUAUUCCAGUUUUGAGUGUUGCUUCAAAGUCCGCUUUUAGCACGGGAGGACGUGUUCUUGAUCAAUUUUGUACUUCUUUGAAUGGUAGAAGCUCUAAUGUGUUGUCAAGACUGGCCAGUCUGAUAUUCUAUUAUGUGCAUGAAUGUUAAUAGUUGAAAUUUUGACAUGAAAAUCAUAUCUUGACGUUGAUUUGUUAUGUGGAGUGAUACUUAAAAGACCAUGGGUCUAUCCUCUUUGUGAGCAGGAGGUAAUUGGAUCUGCUAUAUUUUGAGGCGAGUUGUCAUUCAGACUUUGGCUAGCUUCACUCAAGAGAGACAUAGCCUUAGAGCUAUGGAGCAUCCUCACAACAAGAUACUAAGUGCGCACGAAGGUCUAGGAUUUUGUUUUUAAUAUUAUUUGUUAUUUUCUUCUCCCUGUUUGUGAAAUCAUAUUUUAAUGAAAUUUAAAAAAAAGUUUUACGUGAGGUAUGUCUACUCGCUCAACCUUCCAUGGUUGACACUUUUCUAUUUUGGUUUUUAGUUUGCAGAUGAUUUACAGAAGCAUCCGAUUUGCAGGUCAGAUACUUUAAAGUGACAUAACCUCUACAAAUAGUAUCGAUUUUGUCGAUGCAGAUGACUUUUGUUGAUAUGAGAUGUACUAAUCUUAAAGUGUUUGUAUUGAGUUGAAUUUUCAUAUUGGAUUAUUUGUUGGGUACUUGAUAGAGUUUUGAUUUAUAAGGUUAUUUGGAGAUACCCAUGUUGUAAUUAAUUUGGGUUUAUGCGAGUUAAGCUUAGUAACAUCGUAGACUAAUUAAGUAAAUAUUAGACGGGGUGUUACACUUUUUAAUUUUUUUUGUGAUGUAUAUUAUUUUGUAGGUAUGGAAGAUUUGGUUUUAGAGCAAUCAACCAUUAUCAUUGAUAAGACGACUGAUAUUCCAACAGAACAAUGAGCAAAUGAAGACUUUUCUUGUAAUUGUUAUGUUAUUGAAAACGUUUGUAAUUGAGAAUUGUGGACUUUGUUUUGUUUGGAUUUUUGUUUAAAACAUUGCUUUGUUUGGGCUUUUGUUUAAAACUUUGCUUUGUUUGGGACAUUAAUAUUUAAUGGUGGACUAUGGUUUGUUUGAGACUUUGAACAAUAUCGAUAUUAUAUAUUGCAAAUUAGUAGAAUAUUAGUUUUAUAAUUUGAAAUUUUGCCUAAAUUAUAUCACUACAUUUUGAACUUUUUGAUCUCAAAACCACUGCAUAAUGCAUACAACAUUUUGAUUUCUGCCCAUA